UUGCGUGAAAAUAAUUUUAGAAAAGUAUAAACGCCGUGUUUUUCGGUUCGGUUGUUCCCGUAAUAUUACUUGUUGAAAAUAAACUUUUGCAAGAUAAAAAAGUGUGAAUGCAACCGAAAUUGGUCUCGUAUCAAACGCGAGAAACUAGAGGAUAUUGAACGAACCGGUAUCGUAAGAUUCUGCUGAAGGUAGUGAAUUGACCAGCCGAGACAUAGCUGCAAACAGCAACCAUCAAUGUAAGCCAAAGAUAGCUGGAUUUUGAAGCCGGUUCCUCGUUCAAAGGCUUGUACUACUUUGCCCUUCUUAACCGGUCGAAUGAUCUAGAUAACUACUUAUCCCGACCAAUCGGAGCUGUCCUGGGUCCAGCUUAGUAUAAUAACUGAGCUGAAUUAUCCUCAACCGUGAUGGACCUUCCGGCUCCUGCAGCCAGUAUUUUAGGUUAUUAUAAUUGCGCAUGAUUGAUCCGGUUAUUUCAGCGAUAGCAGCCAAGCUUAUGCGCUUUUUGCUGGAGACGAAAUCGUCAGAUAACAACAUCAACUGCCGUCAAUAUGUACGAACUGACAGCGGUUGGGGUUGGAACCUUGAGGUUGGACCUGAGUUUCGCGGCCAACGGCAUUAGUAACCAAGACAAAUAAAGGGAAGAACCACUAUGCAGCGGCAGCUCGUUCAGUGAGCCCUUUGCGCGACUUCCGAAGGGACAAGUAACCAG